ACCAGACUCCUACGGGAGGCAGCAGUGGGGAAUAUUGCACAAUGGGGGAAACCCUGAUGCAGCGACGCCGCGUGAGCGAUGAAGUAUUUCGGUAUGUAAAGCUCUCUCAGCAGGGAAGAAAAUGACGGUACCUGACUAAGAAGCCCCGGCUAACUACGUGCCAGCAGCCGCGGUAAUACGUAGGGGGCAAGCGUUAUCCGGAUUUACUGGGUGUAAAGGGGGCGCAGACGGCAAUGCAAGCCAGGAGUGAAAGCCCGGGGCCCAACCCCGGGACUGCUCUUGGAACUGCAUGGCUGGAGUACAGGAGGGGCAGGCGGAAUUCCUAGUGUAGCGGUGAAAUGCGUAGAUAUUAGGAGGAACACCGGUGGCGAAGGCGGCCUGCUGGACUGCAACUGACGUUGAGGCCCGAAAGCGUGGGGAGCAAACAGGAUUAGAUACCCCUGUAAAA
rnacentral:rRNA from 1 species